GUUUAUAAAAUGCAAUAACAUUUAUUGACUGUAAUAAAAAAAAAAAAAAAAAAAAAAGCUAAAAAUACAUUUAUACCACAUACAAUGCCUACAAAAAUGUACAGCUGAAAGGACAUAGCACCAGUGUAUGUUUCUUCUGUUUUAAAUUGUAUUUUAAGCCUGUGGAGCACUUCACAUAAAAAAACAAAAAACAAUUGCAAUGUUGGUAUAAAAGUUAUGACUAAUACUGAAGUGAGCAACUUCAGCAAAAUGCAGCAUUGGCAAUGGUUUUAUAAUAUAAUAAAUAAUCAGAUCUAAAAUGAUCUCAGAAAAUUUUUAUUGUCAUGUUUAGAAACACUUCCUGUGAACAAUGGAUGGACCAGAUUCAUCAUACUCUUGUUUGGAGAUC